rnacentral:rRNA from 1 species
AUUGAACGCUGGCGGUAUGCUUAACACAUGCAAGUCGAACGGCAGCACGUUACUUCUUUUCGGAGAAGUGAUGGUGGCGAGUGGCGGACGGGUGAGUAACGCGUAGGAAUCUACCCUAAAGUGGGGGAUAACCCGGGGAAACUCGGGCUAAUACCGCAUAAUCUCUACGGAGCAAAGCUGGGGACCAGAGUUUACUUUGGCCUGGCGCUAUAGGAUGAGCCUGCGUCGGAUUAGCAGUUGGUGGGGUAAUGGCCUACCAAGGUAACGAUCCGUAGCUGGUCUGAGAGGAUGAUCAGCCACACUGGGACUGAGACACGGCCCAGACUCCUACGGGAGGCAGCAGUGGGGAAUAGUUGGACAAUGGGCGCAAGCCUGAUCCAGCAAUACCGCGUGUGUAG